AACGUAGGAGACAAACGUUAUCCGGAGUUACUGGGCGUAAAGGGCGUGUAGGUGGUUUCGUAAGUCUGGCGUGAAAUUUCUCGGCUUAACCGAGGCAGGUCGUCGGAUACUGCGAGGCUAGAGGACGGUAGAGGCGUGUGGAAUUCCGGGUGUAGUGGUGAAAUGCGUAGAUAUCCGGAGGAACACCGGUGGCGAAGGCGGCUUCCUGGACCGACACUGACGCUGAGGCGCGAAAGCUAGGGGAGCAAACGGG
rnacentral:rRNA from 1 species